rnacentral:misc_RNA from 1 species
GAUGAAGAACGCAGUGAAAUGUGAUACUUGGUGUGAAUUGCAGAAUCCCGUGAACCAUCGAGUCUUUGAACGCAAGUUGCGCCCGAAGCCAUUAGGCCGAGGGCACGCCUGCCUGGGCGUCACACGUCGUUGCCCCCCCAUCUAAUCCUUCGGGAUUGCGGGGGGCGGAUGAUGGCCUCCCGUGCGCCUCGUCGCGCGGUUGGCAUAAAUGCCAAGUCCUCGGCGACGCACGCCACGACAAUCGGUGGUUGCGAAACCUCGGUUGCCCGUCGUGUGCGGUCGUCGCGCAUCGAGGGCUCGAAAAAAUUGCCGGGCUCCGGCUCGACUUUCAACGCGACCCCAGGUCAGGCGGGGUUACCCGCUGAAUUUAAGCAUAUCAAUAAGCGGAGGA